rnacentral:rRNA from 1 species
UGCAAGUGGUAGGAAGAAGGGAGUGGACCGACCCUUCGGGGAACCUGCACAGGUGCUGCAUGGCUGUCAUCAGCUCGUGUCGUGAGGUGUCCGGUUAAGUCCGGCAGCGAGCGCAACCCUUGCCGUAUGUUGCAGGUGUCAUACGGGACUGCCGGUAUAAAGCCGGAGGAAGGUGGGGAUGACGUCAAGUCAGCAUGGCCUUUAUAUCCGGGACUACACACACGUUAUAAUGGUCGGCGUAAUGGGUAGUAAACCGUGAGGUGGAGCAAUCCCGAAAGCUGCCUCAGUCAGAUUGCAGCUGCACUCCGCCUGCAUGAAGUCGAAAUGCUAGUAACCGCGCGUCAGCAACAGUGCGGGUGAAUACGUUCCCGGCUUGUGCGCCCG